rnacentral:tRNA from 1 species
AAUUAAUGAGCUUGAAUAAGCAUAUGCUUUGAAAGCAUAAGAUGAAAGUUUAACCUUUUAUUAAUUU